UAAGUUAUACAACUGUACAGAGUUGAAUUGGCAUUGUGUGAUAGACCUUUUUCAACGGGAGUAGCCGCUGACCCUAAUUAUGUACGACCCCAAACUUCAUAGGCUUAGUGUCUUGGUUCGAUGGCUUAGAGGCAUGACUUCAUGUGAGAUCCCAGUUAAUUGGCCUAAGUGCUUAGGUUCCACCUCUGAGUGCCUUGGGUCUGACCAAGCUUGCAAGCACCCCUACAAGGCACGAUGAUCAUUUUGAUUAGCCUGCAGCAAGAGGACCGAGGCAGGAAUAGGAGGGAGAAAAGGAGUGUGUGGUUAGUUGUCUCUUAACAAAACUGCCUGCUUUGCUACCAGACUGGAAGGACUGGAUGGGGCCUGGAGACCAUUACUGACCAUUUUCAGCACAGAUUCCAUAAACGCAUCUUGGACCACUCAGAUACGAUGAAAUCAAACCUUCACUGUAAUGAGUCUACUUCUCUAUGACUACUUCAGCAUGGCCUUGAGGCUGCUCGACUCUACGGGAAGGCAGGCAAAGAAGGGGGAACAAAGGCAGUUCGGAGAGUGAAGAAGUGACAACUGUCAGUAAGAAGCGCUCCACGCGACUCCUGGGUUCUCUGGUUCACUGAGCAACCUUGGAAGGCUGCUCCAAUUGCUCCAUUUUACAGAGGGUGAGACUGAAGCUCAGCAAACUUUGCUGAUUUCAUGCAGCCACCAGCAUGCUUAGCAGAGACUUGAACUGUGGACUCCCAGCCCCAGUCUGGAUUCCCCACAGGCCCCAAGGCAUGUGCUCCAACCACUCAGCCUCUCAAAUCUCCUGGCCAAUCAAUCAUGAAGAGACGACUUGCCUGGGAAAGCCUUUGUGCCUCCACAUAUGGCCAGCUACCUGUUCCCAUCCACGUGUCUUCCUGGGCACCGAGAGCUCUGUUGGAAAUCAGCGGGUGGUCUCUGCACAGGCAAGAGUGCGGGCUGAGAGGCAGGAUGUGAAUCUCUUCCACAAAGUGAAAACUUAUGUCCUAGCAAAUAAUUGGGGGUGGGGGGACUUGAGCUUGUUUCCUUGGCUGAUCAUCACUGGCAGCACCAACUUUGGAUUAAACACUUCUGCUCAGUGAUUUUGACAUUCUCAGUCAGGCAUAUCUUGAUGAAAUUAGAGAUGCAGAAAAUAUUUUUUGAUGGAGUGCAAGGAUGAAACAGCUAGAAGGGAAGUCAGUUCUGCGGCAAACUUGUGCAACCUGAGAUCCAGGAUGGGGGAGAGAGAAAGCUCCCGGAGCAAGGGGUGUGUGCCUGCGCGAGCAUCAACGGAGGAAGAAGAGAGAGAGAGAGAGAGAGAGAGAGACAGAAGAGGCUAGAGGAGAUGGGGGUGAUGCUAACUAAUUAGACUUUAUGAUUUUGGCAGCAAGAGGUGUGUUUAUAAACAGUCUUCACUAAAGCAUACCUUUCCAGCUAUUAAUUGUGUUAUUUGCCAGAAAACGUCUCUGCUCUAAUUAUCGGUACUUGCUUCAAUCCAAAAGUGUGUAUGUGUG